UAGGUUAUGCACGCAGGUAGAUACACACACACACACACACACACACACACACACACACACACACACACAUACACACACACACAGAAGGAAGCACAUUCAAAGCCCUUCUUUCUCCAUCAUCUCUUAAUAAUGAAAACUAAGAGAGAACCUCAAUGUUUAUGACUAUCAAUAAAGGAGUUAGUCACUAGUACAUACCACAUUUGUGGUAUGUACACAUUUGUGUCAGGAAGUCACAUAUAACCUUGGAAAGAUCAGAGCACGUUUCUGCGAACUAACUGGAAGUCAUGUCCCUCCAUAGGGGUGAGAGUAGAAGACUUCAGUUUAAUAAUAGUAGAAAACAUCACUAUUCACUGAUUCAAGAGAGUGAGUUAAAUGUAUUUGAAAAUACAGGCAUGUUUCCAAGACAUAUUGAUAAAAGGAAAACUAAAUUCAAACAAGGCAUGGUCACAUCCACCUGCCAGCCAAGGAUUCGGGAGACUGAGGCAGGGGGAACUUGAGUUUGAGGCCAGAUUGAGUUCCCUAGCAAGACUUCUCCACAAAUGAAAUAAUAAAAAUAAGACAAAUGCAAAUGAGGAAUAACAAAAAUGAAGCGCUGUUUAUAGACAGCUUGGGACGCCGCUGUGUGUUUUCUCUGAGUAUGCAAAUGCUUGUGAAAAGGUGCAGACAGUCUGCCUGGGAAAUGACACAUGGAUUUCAAACCCUGCAGAGGCUAAGAAUGUGCCCAUCUCUCUGUGUGUCAUUGAUAGCUGUGUGUCACUGAUCCUCCUGCAGGGUAAGUAAAUGUAUUUGUGUAUCCCUGGGUGGCACACUCAGGUCAGUUAUCCUUUGGCUAAUUCUCCGUAGGAUCUGACACACCCUGACACAGUUCCCUGGGUGUGUCCUUUGUUCAAGGAGUCCCAGUUCCCAUAUCUAACUACACUCAGAGAAGUCACAGGGGAGCUUUAAAUUUUCUAGGAUGCCCAAAUGUCACCCUUUUUGACCAUUGAGUUGGAAUCCCUGUACGGUCAUGGUCUCCAACAGCUCCCGGCAGGCUGCAGGGCUACUGAGCACUCUGUGCCCUGAGCAGACAGCCUCUUCUUAAGCCCACCGCUGUCCUUGGUCAGCUUUGUUGUUAACCAAUCACACCACCUCUGGCAACUUUUCUCACCUCCCAGGCUCUAUUUUCCUUGGUAAAAGGUUUAACUUCUUGGGUUGUCAGAAGCAAAUGAAACACCAAGUGCCUUAAAGGUGUGAAGAUGCGUUCUCUGAGCUGCUUCUCACAGAGCCUGUGUCUUGCAGUCAUGUCUGUUCAGAGUACAGUUCUUAGUCAUUUAUUCUUUUGUUUCAUUAUUUGUCUAUUUUAAAUUUCC
rnacentral:lncRNA from 1 species